rnacentral:lncRNA from 1 species
AUAACAGUUAACGCCUAUGCGACAAAGACGGGUAGUUUAUUUCGUUCGGCAGCUACCGUAACUUUAUAGGGAUGGGAACUCCCGUCCCAUAUCGGGGCGAACGUACGGGGAAGAGAAAAACGCUCACCGCCGACUGUCCGAUAUAUAGUGACCGCUGUACCUCCGGGUUUAUCGGAAAUGGGCGUUUUCCAGCCGAGUACCGCAGUUCCUGGAUGUGGGUAGAAACUAGUCCUACCAUGGCGCCCAUCGAUGGGUCGGUCGGAAUUCCACGGGGUCAGACGCUUUCCACCGUUAAUAUUUAUCGAAACCGUGGUCGGAAAAUAAAUUACCCGGAUGGUUCACCACCGAAUACUAAAAAACGGACCGCGGGUAUUCCAUAUCAAAGAAUAAAUCCACAUCCAAAGGCUGUAUAAUUUAUGGAAUCCACUUAUCGGCAGCCAGCCAUGACGGCCAUAUUUUUCAUUCGGAUCUGUUAUCUUAGGCCGGCCCCCACCCGGUAGCCCAGUGGUAAGUACGACUGGCGGUGGCCUACCGGUGGCGCCGCCUCCCCCCUCCGACCGAAGAGGCGGAGCCAGCCGUACCGCCCACCUCCAACGAGCUAGAAUAUAUCGGGUGCCGGGCACAGGCGCGGUGAAGACUUUACAAAGUCGAGCGGGCCUAUUCGAUCAUCAUCAUCAUCAUCAUCAUCGGGUACACGCGCUUCUGGACGAAGUGAACGUCGAAAUUAUGGAAAGUAACGUAAGAACUUGGGUUGAUGGGACGCUGGCAGACCGGGGAGUGGAUCGACCGCCGGCCACCGGCAAAAAAUAUUUCUACCGUCCGAUAUACGGGUACCGGUAGUAGAGGAAAAUAUGGCACGGUGCCGAAAACCAGCGUUUUCCACCGAUUCUGGCGGCCGCGGUCCGCCAUAGCGGUGGCCUCCGAAUCCUUCUUCCUCCCAUAGUUUAUCUACGCCAAAAUAUCGGAAAAUGGAGCGGGGCGCGCGCCAAAUUUUUAUCCGGGAGACGCUUUAGCCCACCAGAUUAAAUUAAAUUAUAUAAACCAGCCACAUAAUUGAACACUUUGGUGGCCAAAAUAAAAAUCUUUACGGCGCCCCACCGUUGUUCGCCCGUCACCGUCCCAAACGAAAAGUUUUCUUCGGUCGGAGGUAAUAAAUAGCGGAUAUUUUUGUUAACCAUUUAAACAUAAAAGUCGCUGGGGAUUAGACAUUUAUACCGCUACCGUAUUUCUUCCAUAGGACUGACGUACUUCGCCAUGGGAAGAAUCUAAUCGAAUAGGUGACUGUUACUCCGUGGAGCUUCGACUAGCGACCGUCUGUUUUUAUUUAUCGACCUCCGAGUACGCGUGUGUGUAGACAAUCAAAAAUUAGGCCAGAUGGCGAUGCGCGCCAUACAUCAGAGUGUUUACAGGGGGAGGCUAUAUAUACACGGGUCGAUGGAAAAGUCGGCCAGAAUUCCGGUCCAAACAUUAACGCGGUGCGAAUGUCGAGUGUUACCGGGAAGUCACAUUCCAGGAUUUUCCCGGACAGCUGGGCUUCGGGCUAAUACGCCCCCAAACUGUUCCCAGAAAAUCCGCCUCUCGGACAGUGGUCGAGUAGUGGAGACCCAGCGCCAUUCGACCGAAUCGAUGGUCGGAGCGUAGGCGGUGGGGAAAAAAGGGUGGGUCCGGUCUGUAUGGCCCCCUAAAGUUUGGCGGUAGAGUUUUCCAGCGCUCCGUUCCAUCAUUUCUUAAGGCGGCCACACACCAUCGGUUUUGCCCGAACACGUUUAAAACGGAAGAUAAGACCGAAUUGUACAAAGCGUCCGUUAUAGGGUCAGUCUUUCUCUCAUUUUUUCCGAAUGGAAAUUGAGGCAACGU